UCCAAUUACAAAGUAUAGGGGGAGAAAAACCUAUUCCACAAGAAAAAAGCCACUCUCCCAAAUCCCUCAAUCUCACAUGUGAUUUUUUCAUACACUACCCUCCACCAUUAUAUCAUAAUCCUCAUUACCUCCAUCUUCAUCAAACCAUUCGAUUUACAACUCAACCAUCAUCAACCAUAAUACCAUCAUAAACCAAAAUUCACAAAUUAACAUUGAGUAGCAGAAAAAUAAUAAAAAUAACACAAGAAAUAUAAAUCUAAGAAAAAGAAAAGAAAUUGAUCUGACACCGACAACCAACGAAGUCAUGUUGAACACCACGUGCACAAGAUACGCACAACCACUCAACCAUCGUGCAUUUCAACCAUUGCAUCCACAAGUCACAACUCUUAACAUUGUUCGCUCAUGUUGCUCAGCCUGAUUUCCAAUCGAUUGAGCCCAAAGCAAAAACAUCGCUCUUAUACAUGUACCCCACAUUUAGGACAAUGAUACUACUUUUUUUAAUGUUAUUACUAGUUAAAGGCCCAUUUUCAUGUUUUUUCUUUUAAACCCCGUAUCACCUUGCUUGCACCCCCCUCUGAAUUUAAUAUAUGUCAUUAAUUUCUUUAAAUCAUUUUAUUUUAAUUAUUUAAAAUACAAAAAAAAAUUAUUUAAUGCCAUAAAUAUAAAUUUUAUUAAAUGAAAAAAAUUGUUUAUUUAUUUUUAAAUUAAAUUUCC
rnacentral:lncRNA from 1 species